rnacentral:rRNA from 1 species
UACGGGGGGAGCAAGCGUUGUUCGGAAUUACUGGGCGUAAAGGGCUCGUAGGCGGCCAACUAAGUCGGAUGUGAAAUCCCCAGGCUUAACCUGGGAACUGCAUCCGAUACUGGAUGGCUUGAAUCCGGGAGAGGGAUGCAGAAUUCCAGGUGUAGCGGUGAAAUGCGCAGAUAUCAGGAGGAACACCGGUGGCGAAGGCGGGUCUCUGGGCCGAUACUGACGCUGAGGAGCGAAAGCGUGGGGAGCAAACAGG